GGGCCCGCACAAGCGGUGGAGCAUGUGGUUUAAUUCGAUGAUACGCGAGGAACCUUACCAGGGCUUAAAUGUACGUUGCAUGAUUUAGAGAUAGAUCUUUCUUCGGACUACGUACAAGGUGCUGCAUGGUUGUCGUCAGCUCGUGCCGUGAGGUGUCAGGUUAAGUCCUAUAACGAGCGCAACCCCUGUCGUUAGUUAUCAGCAAUUAAAGUUGGGUACUCUAGCGAGACUGCCGGUGCAAACCGUGAGGAAGGUGGGGAUGACGUCAAAUCAUCACGGCCCUUACGUCCUGGGCUACACACGUGCUACAAUGGCCGGUACAGAGAGCAGCCACUACGCGAGUAGGAGCGAAUCUUCAAAGCCGGUCUCAGUUCGGAUCGCAGUCUGCAACUCGACGGCAUGAAGUCGGAAUCGCUAGUAAUCG
rnacentral:rRNA from 1 species